CUUUUCAGUUAACGGCAAGGCGGUGCACCCAAGUCCGGUGGUGUCCUACCUGGUGACCUCCUACCUGUGCUGGGACGCCAGCGACUUGAUGCUGCACUCCGCCAUCUCCCAGGAGCCGUGUCCUACCUAAGCCCAGUGGGCAUGUGAAGCAGAGGGCAGCCCUUGAAUGCGCGGCGGCUGAGCUACCGCGGGUGGGCCGUGCAGCAGGGCGCAGCGAGGCGGACAUCCAAACAGCGGAACUCAGACGCUGACUCCGAGCGCACCCCGGGCCUUCCCAUUUCAUACACCCUCGAGGAUGAGACCCAAGCACCUCCAAGGAAUAGCACCCGAGGUCUUCAGGACACCGACCGGUAGCCAUGGCCAGAUGCCCGGCCAACCCCUUCAGCGUGGCCACGCCCUGGAUAUUCGACCUCCCCUGAGGCCCCACCCCCUGAUAUCAGGCCACGCCCUCCGAGGGGACCGGUGGCAAACUCCAGCCCUCGCUCUAGGGCCCGCCCUUUGCGGCUUUGUCCCUGCCCACUGGGUCCUCACAGUACCUCCACCCCAGAGGCCCAGCAUCCCCUCCCGUUCUGCAGACACUUGUCCAGCGUCCCGCUGAGCUCGGCAGUGUGGCUAGUUUGUGUGGCCCUGCCCCUGGUGCCCAGCCAGGGUGGUCUGCAUGGAACUUCUUUCCCGGAGUUCCGGCCUCAGCUCCGAUGUCCACCCUUGUCCCCAGGUGGACACAGCACCGCCCAGCAUUUGGUGCAACUCCACCCUUCUGCAGAACGGGCCCCUCCCUGGGAAGGCAUGGCUUGCAAUAACAUCCCUCUGUACCUUUUCUGGCUUCCCCGCCACAAUAAAACCUCUCAGCC
rnacentral:lncRNA from 1 species